rnacentral:rRNA from 1 species
CACAUGCAAGUCGAACGAUGCUUUCGGGCAUAGUGGCGCACGGGUGCGUAACGCGUGGGAAUCUGCCCUUGGGUCUGGGAUAACAGUUGGAAACGACUGCUAAUACCGGAUGAUAUCGCGAGAUCAAAGAUUUAUCGCCCGAGGAUGAACCCGCGUAGGAUUAGCUAGUUGGUGGGGUAAAGGCCUACCAAGGCGACGAUCCUUAGCUGGUCUGAAAGGAUGAUCAGCCACACUGGGACUGAGACACGGCCCAGACUCCUACGGGAGGCAACAGUGGGGAAUAUUGGACAAUGGGCGAAAGCCUGAUCCAGCAAUGCCGCGUGAGUGAUGAAGGCCUUAGGGUUGUAAAGCUCUUUUACCCGGGAUGAUAAUGACAGUACCGGGAGAAUAAGCCCCGGCUAACUCCGUGCCAGCCGCC